AUGCUAGAGAUUUGGUAUGAAGAACCAAACUCCUAAAACAUACCACACAUUAAAAGAAAAGUCAAAAGGGAGGGACAUAUCUCAGUCAUACUUGUAUUGGUUCAUCUAACACAAGGUCAUUGAUGAACCAAUUAGCCUUUAGACAUUAGUGAUUUCAUUGGUCAAAUGAGGGAAUGAGAAAGAAUAGGGAUGAAGAUGAAAAGGGAGGGGAAGAUAGAAACAGAAAUUGACCAAG
rnacentral:lncRNA from 1 species